rnacentral:misc_RNA from 1 species
GAUGAAGAACGCAGCGAAAUGCGAUAAGUAAUGUGAAUUGCAGAAAUCAGUGAAUCAUCGAAUCUUUGAACGCACAUUGCGCCCUCUGGUAUUCCGGGGGGCAUGCCUGUUCGAGCGUCAUUAUAACCACUCAAGCUCUCGCUUGGUAUUGGGGCUCGCGGUUCCGCGGCCCCUAAAAUCAGUGGCGGUGCCUGUCGGCUCUACGCGUAGUAAUACUCCUCGCGAUUGAGUCCGGUAGGUCUACUUGCCAGCAACCCCCAAUUUUUACAGGUUGACCUCGGAUCAGGUAGGGAUACCCGCUGAACUUAAGCAUAUCAAUAAGCGGAGGA